GGCUAACUCUAGGAGAAGGUUGUUUUCUAGGUGUAAAAUGAGGCUAGUGGUGACACAGUUAUAUCAUGUGAGUGUGUGGAAAUAUUUAUGUUGAACCUGGAAAUUUUUUGACAUGUGUGAUGAGGUUGCUAAGGCAGGUAGGUUUGUUAGGAUUCCUCUUUGGAAGUUUUGCUUGUCUUUGUCAUGACUGGGAAAUUGUUUGUUUGCUUUCUUUCAAGAAUUGGUAAAGUGUUUGCUUUGUUGUCAGGAUAGAUUUGGUGAUGCAUGACCGACAAAAA